rnacentral:rRNA from 1 species
AUAAUAAAUUGUUUUUUAAUUAAAAACUAGAAUGAAUGAUUGGACGAGAAAUUAACUGUCUCAUAAUUAAUUGUAAUUUGAAUUUAAUUUUUAAGUUAAAAAGCUUAAAUAUAAUUGAAGGACGAGAAGACCCUAUAGAAUUUUAUAGUUAAAUUACUUUUUUAAAAAAAAAUAAUUUUUAUAGUAAUAAAUUAUUAUAUAAGGGUGAUAAAAAAAUUAAUUAAAUUUUUUUUUUAUAAAAACAAUGAUUAUUGAGUUUUUGAUCCUAUAAUAUAGAUUAAUAGAAUAAAUUACCUUAGGGAUAACAGCGUUAUUUUUUUUUAAAGUUCAUAUUAGUAAAAAAGAUUGC